CUUUGAUUCAAUUAUUUUAAGGGAAAAAAAAAACAAAGAGAAACCAAAGUAAGGAAAAAAUCUGAAUUUUAGCUUUUAUUUUAGCCAAAUAUGUUCAAAUAAUGUUCUAGGUUUAGAAAUAGUGUUCUGACCUGAAUUUAAAAAAUAAAAGAAAACAAAAAUAGGCCCACAAAAAGUGAGGCCAAAUGCCAACCCACCCUUGCUUUCUAACUACCUCCAUCAAGAGUCAUUCUUUGGGGCUACUUUUCUCAUGGUCCAUUGGAGCAUCCAAUCUUCAAAAAUUGGCCCAGUUUCGCCAAAAAGAGCACUGAUGGAGUUGCUCAAGUCUUGUUCUUACUUUCAUCCUUGGUUUUGGGCAUCCCUUAGGACGUGGAUACAGAUGGCUUGAAGGAUUACAUGAGCAAAAUUGGGGAAAUUGAGGAAUAUAUUGUGACGAAGCUUCAACGGCGAGCUCCGUGCAACGGCAACCUACCUCGAUAGCAACCGAACUGACAGUGAGCUCCAGGGUGUGAAUGCAACUCUGGCGAACACACAGUAAUCUCCAAUAUGCUGCUUGCAACUCCGGCGAACACACACGCGUCACGCACACAAAAGAGUCCAAAGCUCUCUCUCUCUCUAAGGUGAUAUAUUGUGUUUUAAGCUAGGUCAUUGAAUUGCACUCCAUUUGGUUGAUUUUUGGAGCUACCUCUAUGUGUAUUUUUUUUUUUUUGAUAUAUCUCUCUUUUCUUACACACUUCUUAGAAAGUGAGGGAGAAGGUUUUUGUUUUUGUUUUUUUUGUUUUUUUUUUUUUUUUUCACGCGUAAAGACCUAACCGAAGCUACUUACCCAGAUGUAAGGAUUAUUUGGUCAGAAAAAAUUGUCUCACAAGAUUAUUAAACGGAGGUAAGUUAAAUCACCCCCUCCUCAUAGUUGAGGGAGUUUCUUGUCAAAAACAUUUAAAGGGAAUUUCUUGCAAAUGGGUAAUAAUUGGGGUGGGUUUUUUUUUUUGGCACUUCGUCCUUAAUUAUAUAAA